AUUGAACGCUGGCGGCAGGCCUAACACAUGCAAGUCGAGCGGAUGACGGGAGCUUGCUCCUUGAUUCAGCGGCGGACGGGUGAGUAAUGCCUAGGAAUCUGCCUGGUAGUGGGGGACAACGUUUCGAAAGGAACGCUAAUACCGCAUACGUCCUACGGGAGAAAGCAGGGGACCUUCGGGCCUUGCGCUAUCAGAUGAGCCUAGGUCGGAUUAGCUAGUUGGUGGGGUAAUGGCUCACCAAGGCGACGAUCCGUAACUGGUCUGAGAGGAUGAUCAGUCACGCUGGAACUGAGACACGGUCCAGACUCCUACGGGAGGCAGCAGUGGGGAAUAUUGGACAAUGGGCGAAAGCCUGAUCCAGCCAUGCCGCGUGUGUGAAGAAGGUCUUCGGAUUGUAAAGCACUUUAAGCUGGGAGGAAGGGCAGUAAGCUAAUACCUUGCUGUUUUGACGUUACCGACAGAAUAAGCACCGGCUAACUCUGUGCCAGCAGCCGCCGUAA
rnacentral:rRNA from 1 species